rnacentral:rRNA from 1 species
CCUACGGGGGGCUGCAGUGGGGAAUAUUGCACAAUGGGCGCAAGCCUGAUGCAGCCAUGCCGCGUGUGUGAAGAAGGCCUUCGGGUUGUAAAGCACUUUCAGCGGGGAGGAAGGCGUUAAGGUUAAUAACCUUGGCGAUUGACGUUACCCGCAGAAGAAGCACCGGCUAACUCCGUGCCAGCAGCCGCGGUAAUACGGAGGGUGCAAGCGUUAAUCGGAAUUACUGGGCGUAAAGCGCACGCAGGCGGUCUGUCAAGUCGGAUGUGAAAUCCCCGGGCUCAACCUGGGAACUGCAUUCGAAACUGGCAGGCUAGAGUCUUGUAGAGGGGGGUAGAAUUCCAGGUGUAGCGGUGAAAUGCGUAGAGAUCUGGAGGAAUACCGGUGGCGAAGGCGGCUCUCUGGCCUGUAACUGACGCUGAGGCGCGAAAGCGUGGGGAGCGAACAGGAUUAGAUACCCGAGUAGUC